AUAACGACUCUCGGCAACGGAUAUCUCGGCUCUCGCAUCGAUGAAGAACGCAGCGAAAUGCGAUACCUGGUGUGAAUUGCAGAAUCCCGUGAAUCAUCGAGUCUUUGAACGCAAGUUGCGCCUGAGACCAUUCGGUCGAGGGCACGCCUGCCUGGGCGUCACG
rnacentral:rRNA from 1 species